rnacentral:rRNA from 1 species
GACAGAGGUGCCGAGCGUUAGGCGGAAUCACUGGGCUUAAAGCGUGUGUAGGCGGAUGGGUAAGUACCUUGUGAAAUCCCACGGCUCAACCGUGGAACUGCUCGGUAUACUGCUCGUCUUGAGCCAACUAGGGGCGACCGGAACAAACGGUGGAGCGGUGAAAUGCGUAGAUAUCGUUUGGAACGCCGAUGGUGAAACAGGUCGCUGGGGUUGUGCUGACGCUGAGACACGAAAGCCAGGGGAGCGAACGGG